rnacentral:rRNA from 1 species
AUUGAACGCUGGCGGAAUGCUUUACACAUGCAAGUCGAACGGCAGCACGGGGGCAACCCUAGUGGCGAGUGGCGAACGGGUGAGUAAUGUAUCGGAACGUGCCCAGUCGUGGGGGAUAACGUAGUGAAAAUUACGCUAAUACCGCAUACGAUCUAUGGAUGAAAGCGGGGGAUCGCAAGACCUCGCGCGAUUGGAGCGGCCGAUAUCAGAUUAGGUAGUUGGUGGGGUAAGCGCUCACCAAGACGACGACCUGUAGCUGGUCUGGGCGGACGACCAGCCACACUGGAACUGAGACACGGACCAGACUCCUACGGGAGGCAGCAGUGGGGAAUUUUGGACAAGGGGCGAAAGCCUGAUCCAGCCAUUCCGCGUGCAGGAUGAAGGCCUUCGGUUUGUAAACUGCUUUUGUACGGAACGAAACGGCGAGCUCUAAUACAGUUUGCUAAUGACGGUACCGUAAGAAUAAGCACCGGCUAACUACGUGCCAGCCGCCGCCGUAA